CCUGCAGCAGUGUAAACCUGCCGGCAGAUGGGUUUUCUUGUCGUGACUUGUCUCGGUGUUUUAACUUGCACCAAGUUGCAUGGAAGUUGUUCCAUGGUGACAUGUGGUUUGAGAAGCUCCAAACAGUUAUCAGCCCAGCGAGCAAGGAAUCAGCAGAGAUCAUCCUGCUUCAUCCGAAAGGGAGAGUGUCCUCUAUCACUUCUGAGAGACUUUGCAUUCCUAGAAUCAGCUUGAUCAGCUGGGAGGUGCCACAUAUUAUGCUACUGGACUUCUCUGAAAUUACAUUCCCAUUAUCCUUUCUGGCUGGAAAGAUGCCAGCCAACCAACCAAACCCAAUCAUAUUCGUUGACCUACAUUGGAUCUCUCACUGUCAAUUACUUGAUUUUGAAAUUCUCCUCGUUCUUGUGUUUAAAUUAUUCCAUGACCUCACCCACACUAUCUCACCAACCAGCUCCUCUGGCCCUACCUCCCACUGAGAACUUUGGUCCUCCAAUUCCAGUCUAUUACGUAGUUUAUUGCAUAACAAGAUCCUGAGCCCUCCCACUAACUUUGGUUUGUGGAGGCCCUGAACUCUUAAAAAUUUCCUUCUGAAUCUUUUCAAAUUGCUUACUGUAUUCUCUUUUUGAGUGUGUCCUUGAAACUGCAUUGUAGACCAAGCUUUUGAUCAGUUUCAUAGUGUCACGUCUAUGUCAGUUUUCUCUUGCAAACUUUUGCUGUGUUAUAGGCACUUUGUAACUGUCAAUUAUUGAUUAUAACUCUACUUGUCUUGGUUGUCCUUCAUUACCUGUCACAAUGACAAUAACUUAGUUUUUGAGUAACAUGCACCCCAGUUCCAUCUGCGUACUGGAGCCCAGUGACUGAAGUUGGAGUGAUUUUGGUUUUGCAUUGAAAGCAGCAUAGGUUGAGUAGUAGAUUACCUCCAUACCUGCAGGUGAGGUGUAGUAAUGCAGCAAGGAAGAUGGAGAAGCUGGUUAUUGCAAUGGCACAGCCAUGUUUAACCCCAGUCUUCAUUGAGAUGGGGUCUGUGCUUGUUCCAUUUUUGAGAUUCAUGGUUUGAUUUUGACUGUGGUGCAAAGGAUGGUGGUAGCAAAUUUGAGGAAAGGCAAAUUCAAGGAGGAUAUACCAUAAGCUUCCACAGUUGAUGGAGUCACAACACUUUUGUGAGGUCAUAAAAGGGUCACAACAGUCCCCUGAAGCAUUAGAAAAUGAGGUUUUCACUAAACACCUAGAAAAAUGAGUAUCUCUUCCAACUAGAUCUAACAGUGUAGCAUCUCCUUACAUUAAUUAAGAUUAAUGAUGUAAUCCUGGAACACAUCCUUCUUUUUGGAGUCAGGCUAGAAGGUAGAUAUAGAUCAUAGAAUCCCUGCAGUGUGGAAACAGGCCUUUCGGCCCAAUGAGUCCACACCAACCCUCAGACGUCCCACCCCCCGAUAACCCACCUAAGUAACACAUCCCUGAACACUAUGGGAAAUUUAACAUGGCCAAUUCACAUAGUCUGCAUGUUUUUGGACUUGGGAGGAAACUGGAGCACCUGGCAGAAACCCAUGCAGACGUGGGAAGAAUGUGCAAACUCCACACAGACAGUUGCCCGAUGGUGGAUUCGAACCUGCGUUCCUGGUGCUGAGAGGCAGCAGUGCUAACCACUGAGCCACCGUGCCGACCGACAAAAUUAAUCAUUCUUUGAAUGUGCCAGCUCAACCUUCAGCUGAUGGAGGUCAAGAAAAUUUGAGGACUAACAUUUCAAACCUGACUAAGGACAUAAGUUACUGGGCAGCAGCGACUGUUGCAGUCCAAUAUACUUCAAAGACUCGGGCAUCCUGUAGUACACAUUUCAAAGCAUUGAAGAAGUACCAUCAGUGAUAUCUUCACAAAAUCCUCCAAAUCCAAUGGCAAGGGACGUGGUCCAAAUGCAAUGUCCAAAUCAACAUAUCCCACCUAGUAGAACUGUUUUGAGUGAUUAGCAUUUCAAUGCAGGGCAUAUUGUCAGGAUAUUUGACUUCCAACUCCCAAAACAACUGUUCUACAUGGAACUUGGUUAUGACACGAGAUUCCAGGAAGAAAACUGAAAUGCUUUAGCAAUGUCCUCAAAGCAUCCUUGGAGGUCAAAUACCUCUGCUAACUCAAGGGAGUCUGUGGCUUGUGAUUGAUCAGAAAAUUCAUUCAGAAGACCCCAAACUUUUUCAGAGACUUCAUCAGGAACAUGCAGUCAAGAUGUUGGAGAGAGUGCACAAAACCUCCCCACAGUUCAUCUACGCAGCCCUCUGAGUCUGCUCUGUCCCAUGUAUGACAGACUCUUCAGACUACACAAUGGAUUUAUCAGUUGUGUAUUUGCUUGUUGUGCGUUUUUAUAUAUUUGAUUUAGAUCAAAACAAUGCAUAGGUAACACAAGUUCUAACUCCCAACAACAAGUUUAUUUAUAAUGCUCUUCAAUUACAAGAUGGCUCCGUAUAUAUUCAGAACUUUGGCGUUUUGGGUCUUUGUCUGGAAGCUGCCCCCAGGUUUAUUCAAUCAAAUGCAGUAAACAUAGAUCAAUCAACAGACUAACACUACUAAAAACCAUUGAAUCAUUGAACGUUACAGUCAGCCAUCCUAGAAUCCAAAGAACUGGAAUGGAACCGAGUCAACCGUUAUCCUGAGAGACUACCUUUUGAAGAGGAAGGCCUCUUGCAAGUGACCAAUCUUAAUAUUUGAACAGUGGAGGAUUGUUGGUAGACCAUUUGACCAUGUGAUGAAUUGCAGCAAUCUGUCUGCACGUGUACUUUAACAAAGUGUUGCUGAACGGUAAUUAAGAGCCACCACCUAGUCAGAUCCAUUCCAUCCACCAUUCCCUUGCCCUGUCUUCUUUUUCUUUCUGCUGUCCCUUUUUGUUUCAACGGACCCCCCAACCCCUGGCCACCGUCCUAACUAAAGUUGAUUUUUGAUAGAAAUGGGCAUGCAACUAAACACAUCAGUGUGUACACAACAGUGCUUUGUAUUGUGUUACAAGAUGGGGCCCUGCUGAGGAAACUUUUUUUUGCUUUAGAGAGAGCUACGGAAAUGGCACUUCUUAAAGUGAAUGCUGUGUUCAUGUAGCUCUACACAGCAUCCAUCCUCAGCUUGGUGUCGAUGAGAAAAUUGUUGUGUGCAAGUCCCAAACAAAGGCAACUGCUGUCAUUGGCUGUUUUACAUUGAGUUGGAUUUGUCAGAAAUAUUGUUGACACUUCGAUUAAACGUGGGGGUAAACCAGCCAAGCAUUCUGUGCUGUAGAUAAGAUCAAUACCAGUGAUUACUGUCUACAGAAGCUUUUGUGUGUGUCUGCGAGCAUAUGUAUAAAACAUGCAAUUAUACCUUGUUUCUUCAAUAAAAAUAAUCUCCGAUCUGGGCAGGAA